GGGGCCGUAGUCUAGCCAGGCAUGACGACGGGCUCCAGAUCCGGGUAUAGGUCGUCGGUUCAAUUCCGGCCGGCCCCA
rnacentral:tRNA from 1 species